rnacentral:rRNA from 1 species
GACGUAGGGCGCGAGCGUUGUCCGGAUUUAUUGGGCGUAAAAGAGCUUGUAGGCGGUUUUGUCGCGUCUGCUGUGAAAAAUCCGGGGGCUCAACCCCCGGACUUGCAGUGGGUACGGGGCAGACUGGAGGCAGGCAGGGGGAGAACGGAAUUCCCGGUGUAGCGGUGAAAAUGCGCAGAUAAUCAGGGAGGGAAACACCCGGUGGCGAAAGGGCGGGAUCUCUGGGGGCCCAUUUACUGACGCU